CACCCUGGAAGUGUCAGUACUGAGAGUACAUCCCCAUAAACAACAUACACAUCAGUCUCAGAGCCUGCUUCCCAGAGAAUCGGACCACAACACAGGCAUUCCUUUCAUUGCUUGUUUCAGUCCAUCACAACCAGACACUUGCCACAUCUGCUCUUUGAGGGCUGGGUGUUUUAAAUAACAUUUCUUCAGAAAAUUAACCUUGAGUAUUCUGUGGCAGGAGCUGAGGAUGAGAAUGGGUGGUUGGGUGGGACAAGGUAAUCUUCUUUCGUAUCCUCAUGCUCUUUCUUUUAAAUCCCUCUAUUUAAUUGUAGAUGACAUGAAUGCAUAUAGUCAAUUCACCACCAUUAAUCAGAAGUCCAUAGUUUUAAUUUUUAAACUUAUUUCUUUUAAAUUCUACUUUAUUGUAUUUAUUUUUAGGGGGGAUAAUUAGGUUUGUUUGUUUGUUUGUUUGUUUAUCUAUUUAUAAUGGAGGUAUUGGGGAAUGAACCCAGGACUUCAUGCAUGUUAAUCACACACUCUGUCACUGAUUUAUACCCUCCUUCCAUACUUUUUAGAUUAUACAUGCAAUUGCUCUUCUCUAUUAAUGUGGAUUUAAAAAUAAUUUUAUGUAUUAAAAACAGAAAAGGGCAGAAGAACAUUUCCUGAACUGUUGCCUGGAACACUCAUUUUUGAAAUUUUAAGAGUUCAGUUGAAUAAUAAAAAUAAGGAAAAGACUAGAGAGUCGAAUAAUUUGGAAGAAGAUGGAGAAUAUUUGCAGAAUCAUUGAACCUUUUCCCUCUGGACAUCAGUUAAUAAAAGAGGAGCCUGGCAGUUCAAUAACCCAAGUGAAUCCCGUGCUAGAAAGUCCUUCCUUUGGACAAAGCACUGUUCUGCCACCCAUGCUGAAGGUCAAACAAUUUUUCUGGA